rnacentral:rRNA from 1 species
UGCAGUCGACGAACUCUGGUAUUGAUUGGUGCUUGCAUCAUGAUUUACAUUUGAGUGAGUGGCGAACUGGUGAGUAACACGUGGGAAACCUGCCCAGAAGCGGGGGAUAACACCUGGAAACAGAUGCUAAUACCGCAUAACAACUUGGACCGCAUGGUCCGAGUUUGAAAGAUGGCUUCGGCUAUCACUUUUGGAUGGUCCCGCGGCGUAUUAGCUAGAUGGUGGGGUAACGGCUCACCAUGGCAAUGAUACGUAGCCGACCUGAGAGGGUAAUCGGCCACAUUGGGACUGAGACACGGCCCAAACUCCUACGGGAGGCAGCAGUAGGGAAUCUUCCACAAUGGACGAAAGUCUGAUGGAGCAACGCCGCGUGAGUGAAGAAGGGUUUCGGCUCGUAAAACUCUGUUGUUAAAGAAGAACAUAUCUGAGAGUAACUGUUCAGGUAUUGACGGUAUUUAACCAGAAAGCCACGGCUAACUACGUGCCAGCAGCCGCGGUAAUACGUAGGUGGCAAGCGUUGUCCGGAUUUAUUGGGCGUAAAGCGAGCGCAGGCGGUUUUUUAAGUCUGAUGUGAAAGCCUUCGGCUCAACCGAAGAAGUGCAUCGGAAACUGGGAAACUUGAGUGCAGAAGAGGACAGUGGAACUCCAUGUGUAGCGGUGAAAUGCGUAGAUAUAUGGAAGAACACCAGUGGCGAAGGCGGCUGUCUGGUCUGUAACUGAC